UACGUAGGGUGCAAGCGUUUGUCCGGAAUUAUUGGGCGUAAAGAGCUCGUAGGCGGUCUGUCGCGUCGGCUGUGAAAACUCGGGGCUCAACCCCGAGCCUGCAGUCGAUACGGGCAGACUAGAGUGCUGUAGGGGAGACUGGAAUUCCCGGUGUAGCGGUGGAAUGCGUAGAGAUCGGGAAGAAUACCCGUGGCGAAGGCGGCCAGCUGGGCCAGGUCCGACACUGAGGCGCGAAAGCGUGGGGAGCAAACAGG
rnacentral:rRNA from 1 species